UGGGAAUAUUGGACAAUGGGCGCAAGCCUGAUCCAGCAACGCCGCGUGGAGGAUGAAGGUCUUCGGAUCGUAAACUCCUGUCAGGUGGGACGAACGGACCGGGGUGAACAAUCCCGGUUCUUGACGGUACCGCCAGAGGAAGCCCCGGCUAACUCCGUGCCAGCAGCCGCGGUAAUACGGAGGGGGCGAGCGUUAUUCGGAAUUAUUGGGCGUAAAGGGCGCGUAGGCGGCUUGGCAAGUCAAAGGUGAAAUCCCUCGGCUCAACUGAGGAACUGCCUUUGAAACUGCCUGGCUCGAGGCCGGGAGGGGUAGCGGAAUUCCCAGUGUAGCGGUGAAAUGCGUAGAUAUUGGGAGGAACACCAGUGGCGAAGGCGGCUACCUGGACCGGAUCUGACGCUGAUGCCGCGAAAAGCGUUGGGUAGCAAAACAGGAUUAGAUACCCUGGUAGUCCACGCUGUAAACGAU
rnacentral:rRNA from 1 species